CGCUGGCGGCGUGCCUAAUACAUGCAAGUCGAGCGGUGCUCUUCGGAGCACAGCGGCGGACGGGUGAGGAACACGUGAGUAAUCGGGCGUCUGGUGGGGGAUAUCGGGCCGAAAGGCGCGGCAAUCCCGCAUAACGUCCCGGCGGUGCAGGCCGCCGGGGGAAAGGCCGCAAGGCCGCCAGAUGGGGAGCUCGCGGCCCAUUAGCUAGUUGGGGGGGUAACGGCCUCCCAAGGCGACGAUGGGUAGCCGGCCUGAGAGGGUGAUCGGCCACACUGGGACUGAGACACGGCCCAGACUCCUACGGGAGGCAGCAGUAGGGAAUCUUCCACAAUGGGCGCAAGCCUGAUGGAGCAACGCCGCGUGAGUGAAGACGGCCUUCGGGUUGUAAAGCUCUGUCUGUCGGGACGAGGGCCGCGCGGGAACGCGCGGAGGGACGGUACCGGCGGAGGAAGCCCCUGCAAACUACGUGCCAGCAGCCGCGGUAAGACGUAGGGGGCAAGCGUUGUCCGGAAUUACUGGGCGUAAAGGGCGUGUAGGCGGUUUUACACGUAGCGGUUUUCAGCCGUCGGCUCACCCGACGGAGGGCGGCUAAACNGUAAGGCUGGAGGGC
rnacentral:rRNA from 1 species